GUGAGGAAUAUUGCGCAAUGGGCGAAAGCCUGACGCAGCGACGCCGCGUGGAGGAUGAAGGUCUUCGGAUUGUAAACUUCUGUUAAGUGGGAAGAAAGGGCUGUUUUUAAUAGAAGCAGUUAAUGACGGUACCAUUAAAGAAAGCACCGGCUAAACUCGUGCCAGCAGCCGCGGUAAUACGAGUGGUGCAAGCGUUAUUCGGAAUAAUUGGGCGUACAGGGUGUGUAGGCGGUAUGUUAAGUAUGUUGUUAAAGACUCCGGCCUAACCGGAGAGAGGCAGCGGAAACAGGCGUAGUAGAGGGUGGAAGAGAGAAGUGGAAUUCGCGGUGUAGCGGUAUAAUGCGUAGAUAUCGAGAGGAACACCGAUGGCGAAGGCAGCUUCUUGGUCCAUACCUGACGCUGAAACACGAAAGCGUGGGGAGCAAACAGGAUUAGAAACCCCAGUAGUCC
rnacentral:rRNA from 1 species